rnacentral:rRNA from 1 species
GACGAACGCUGGCGGCGUGCUUAACACAUGCAAGUCGAACGAUGAAGCCCAGCUUGCUGGGUGGAUUAGUGGCGAACGGGUGAGUAACACGUGAGUAACCUGCCCUGGACUCUGGGAUAACCCCGAGAAAUCGGAGCUAAUACCGGAUAGGACCUUCUCUCGCAUGGGGGUUGGUGGAAAGUUUUUCGGUCUGGGAUGGACUCGCGGCCUAUCAGCUUGUUGGUGAGGUUAUGGCUCACCAAGGCGUCGACGGGUAGCCGGCCUGAGAGGGUGACCGGCCACACUGGGACUGAGACACGGCCCAGACUCCUACGGGAGGCAGCAGUGGGGAAUAUUGCACAAUGGGCGCAAGCCUGAUGCAGCAACGCCGCGUGCGGGAUGACGGCCUUCGGGUUGUAAACCGCUUUUGUCAGGGAAGAAGCCUUUCGGGGUGACGGUACCUGGAGAAAAAGGACCGGCUAACUACGUGCCAGCCGCCGCGGUAAUAC